rnacentral:rRNA from 1 species
GAGUUUGAUCGUGGCUCAGAUUGAACGCUGGCGGAAUGCUUUACACAUGCAAGUCGAGCGGCAGCGCGGGGCAACUUGGCGGCGAGCGGCGAACGGGUGAGUAAUGCAUCGGAACAUGUCCAUGUCGUGGGGGAUAGCCCGGCGAAAGCCGGAUUAAUACCGCAUGAGCCCGAGAGGGGAAAGUGGGGGACCGCAAGGCCUCACGUCGAUGGGUUGGCCGAUGUCCGAUUAGCUAGUUGGUGAGGUAAAGGCUCACCAAGGCGAUGAUCGGUAGCUGGUCUGAGAGGAUGAUCAGCCACACUGGGACUGAGACACGGCCCAGACUCCUACGGGAGGCAGCAGUGGGGAAUUUUGGACAAUGGGGGCAACCCUGAUCCAGCCAUUCCGCGUGAGUGAAGAAGGCCUUCGGUUGUAAGACUC